AUACACGAUGAAGGCAGCGUGACUACGUACCAAUGCUACCGAAACGGGACGACCCUCGAGCCACCUACAUCGCGCAAUUUCACAGUCCUGUGGAGAAGCGCGGACCAGCCCGAAAACGAAGCGCAAUGCGUGUGCACAUUCGUGCUUGACGGAGGCAGCGAGGAGCAAAGAAUCGAAGUCUCUGCCGAGUACAAUGAACAAGAGGACUACGGCAUUCUGUCAGGUCAUGGUGCAUCAGCGUACCUUUACCAACUACAGCCUCCGUUCCAAGGCGAAGCCUACUAUUUCAAGGAAGUGGCCGCUUCGACUGGCCAUACUGUCUUCAAGAUUUACGACACUGACGAGACCUGCACGAACGCCAAAGCCCUUCACGACCAGGUUUGCCCUGAACCAUGCGACCUGGAAUUCGUGCGGUGAAGAUUCUACCCUUACGUCAACAGCUACAAUGACCAAAAAUAAAAUAAAGAGGUGGUGGGAAAAUUCAUCAGCAGUACUUGUAUAACGUGGAAAACAUACUAAUAAAGUCGUCCAGAGCAUAUGCCAAGGGGUUAUUC